AUUGAACGCUGGCGGCAGGCCUAACACAUGCAAGUCGAGCGAGCGGCGGACGGGUGAGUAAUGUCUGGGAAAAUGCCUGAUGGAGGGGGAUAAAUACUGGAAACGGUAGCUAAUACCGCAUACCAUCAGAUGUGCCCCGAUGGGAUUAGCUAGUAGGUGGGGUAACGGCUCACAAAGGCGACGAUCCCUAGCUGGUCUGAGAGGAUGACCAGCCACAUUGGAACGGAGACACGGUCCAGACUCCUACGGGAGGCAGCAGUGGGGAAUAUAGCACAAUGGUCGCAAGCCUGAUGCAGCCAGGCCGCGUGUGUGAAGAAGGCCUGCGGUUUGUAAAGCACUUUCAGCUAGGAGGCGUUACCCGCAGAAGACGCACCGGCUAACUACGUGCCAGCAGCCGCGGGAAUAC
rnacentral:rRNA from 1 species